AACGAACGCUGGCGGCGUGGAUAAGACAUGCAAGUCGAACGGGACUAUCAGAGUAGCAAUAUGAUGAUGGUUCAGUGGCGAACGGGUGCGUAACACGUGGAUACAUUCCGGGAAGCGGGGGAUAGCCCAGGGAAACUUGGAUUAAUACCGCAUGUGAUCGAAAGAUCAAAGACGGGGACCGCAAGGCCUGUCACUUGCCGAUUGGUCCGCGGCGUAUCAGCUAGUUGGCGGGGUAAAAGCCCACCAAGGCGACGACGGGUAGCUGGUCUGGGAGGACGACACGCGACGCUGGUGUUGCGACACGGUCCAGAGACCUACGGGGGGAAGCAGUCGGGAAUCUUUCACAAUGGGGGCAGACCGGAUGGAGCAACGCGGAGUGGAGGAUAAGGUCUGCGGGUUGUAAACUCCUGUCAUGCGUGAACAAGAUUGCCGGGCUAAUAUCCUGAGCAAGUUGAUGGUAACGCAAGAGGAAGAGACGGCUAACUCUGUGCCAGCAGCCGCCGUAAUAC
rnacentral:rRNA from 1 species